rnacentral:rRNA from 1 species
UACAUGGGGUGCAAACGUUGCUCGGAAUCAUUGGGCGUAAAGCGCGCGUAGGCGGUUGCUUAAGUCGGAUGUGAAAGCCCUCGGCUUAACUGAGGAAGUGCAUCCGAAACUGAGCAGCUAGAGUACGAAAGAGGGUCGCGGAAUUCCCGGUGUAGAGGUGAAAUUCGUAGAUAUUCGCAAGAACACCAGUGGCGAAGGCGGCCGACUGGUCCGGUUCUGACGCUGAGGCGCGAAAGCGUGGGGAGCAAACAGG